GAUGAACGCUGGCGGCGUGCCUAAUACAUGCAAGUCGAGCGAACAGACGAGGAGCUUGCUCCUCUAACGUUAGCGGCGGACGGGUGAGUAACACGUGGAUAACCUACCUAUAAGACUGGGAUAACUUCGGGAAACCGGAGCUAAUACCGGAUAAUAUAUUGAACCGCAUGGUUCAAUAGUGAAAGACGGUUUUGCUGUCACUUAUAGAUGGAUCCGCGCCGCAUUAGCUAGUUGGUAAGGUAACGGCUUACCAAGGCAACGAUGCGUAGCCGACCGGAGAGGGUGAUCGGCCACACUGGAACUGAGACACGGUCCAGACUCCUACGGGAGGCAGCAGUAGGGAAUCUUCCGCAAUGGGCGAAAGCCUGACGGAGCGACGCCGCGUGAGUGAUGAAGGUCUUCGGAUCGUAAAACUCUGUUAUUAGGGAAGAACAAACGUGUAAGUAACUAUGCACGUCUUGACGGUACCUAAUCAGAAAGCCACGGCUAACUACGUGCCAGCCGCCGCCGUAA
rnacentral:rRNA from 1 species